UUUUGUGAUUCCACUUUUUCCUCAUGGUAUUCACUUGCGUUCCAUUGCUCACGAAGACAAGAAAGAAUACUCCAGUUGGAACUUUAUUGAAGCUAUAUGUUAAAAACAUCCUAAUGAUUGAUUCUGUACGUAGUUUGAGAUGUUUCUUCGACCGGUAAUAUCACUUUUUGUCCAAUAUAACGCUGACCAGAAUUAGCGUUUGGAUAUGUAUACCAAAUGCUCUAACAAAAAAGCCUUCCUCUCCUCUGAAGACCCAGUGAGGGUGGAGCUCAGUCAGAGAGCUGUUGAGGGACUGGUUAGGAAGAACACUUCUACAGCCAGAGUCAAGAAAUGGAACAGCAAGGCCACAGAACAUGAAAUAAGCAGAGCUGUUGGACACCACCUCAAGCCCCUGGUAUAGCCGGGGGUGGUGUUCACCACUCCAGCAGGCUGGAAAAUUGCGAUUGAUAAUUUUUUUCAUACUAAGAUGGACCAAGAGUCUGUCGAUUGGCCGGUCAUUGGGUUCAUUUGACUUACAAUAUGUUCAAAUCAAGCUUUAUUAAUACAGCACAUUUCAGACAUGGAUGCAACCCAAUGGAAACAAGAAAAGAAAAAGAAAAACCCACACCAAACUUAAAGACAGGAAGCAAACUAAAGGCGUUGACUCUCCACAUCUAUCAAGACAACUGGAGCACUGGGCCAGACACUCUUAAAUAGAACCUGGACCAGCUCAGGUGAAAUACCUUCCCACUUACAAGAUGGACAAGCCAGCACAGGUGUAACACAUACUGACUAACGGUGACACCAAUCAAAGCGGCCUAAGUGCUAACGAGCUAAAGUCCAACCUCAAAACAUAAAUGAAAAAAACAAAGCCUGAAACACCUUCCCCCUUAAGACAACAAAUAUAUCCUAUAUUUUUGUUGGACACGUUUGCUCACCACCAACAGAAAACAACUUCCAUUUCACAUUAUAAUCAACUACAAUGCUUAAAUAUAUGGAAAAUAAUUAGAGAUCAAACUCAUCUCCAACACGGAAAAAUGUGUCAAAAUAAAUUGUGAUCCAUGGUAACACACUGAUUAAAUGCAAAACAAAAAUAUUUUUGACUGCCAACCCUUGAGACAAUCAGAAACCAAGUUGUCCUUACCACAGACAUGUUUGAUUUCAAGAGGAAACGCCUGCGAUAUCCAUAGUCACUUUCCACCUCACCGCAGAGCUUCUCUCUCUUUUCAGGGUUCACUAGAUAGGCAUGUUGUUGGAUCGAGACCCAGUCCCCAAUGUCAUGCUCUAGUACAUUUGGGUUGGCACAUCUAUGAAUUAUCCCUGAUAUUCUAAAAGCAGGGCAACAACGUCAAUAUAAUUGUACCCCAAAAUUGUCAGUUGGUUACAUAAAAAAAUGAUAUCAAAACCAAAUGUACACCCCUGUUAAUAUGUAUUGGCAAUAACUCACUUAAUGGUGAGGCGUGGAAUUAUAAAACAUGUAUCUUUUGUUUGAAAUAUGAGGUGAUUUGAGACAUCUUUCUUCAGUAGUGGAAUAAAGACAAUUAGCACUUGAAUGUUGUAAAGAAAUACUGGAGUGAAGUAGGAUUGUUAAUAAAAAUGAUUACAAAUGUAUUAUACUGCGUCCGUGUGUAUAGGCUGCAAGUAAGUUCAAAUUAAGUUGUUUUCAAGUCAU